AUGCAGUACUGGUCCAUCGAGGGGGCGCAGGAGGUGCUCGGCGACAAGUUGUGCGUCGACCGGCUCGACAGCCGCACGCUGGAGCGCGGCCACACCAAGACCUUUGCCUGCUGGGUCUGGGUGUGGGACAUGGCUUUCAUCCCCACCAGGCACACCUACUGGAAGCUUCCGCGGGGCGCCGGUCGGGUGGAGGAGAUGGUUUGUUUCUCUCCGCCGGACCGCAGAGUGGCGCCUCCUCCGGGAGCGACGCGGUUCGACCUCCUCAUCCACGUCGAUCUCAUCAAAGACUGGUCCCCGCGCUUCCCUCGCUCCUCCCACUCCGCGCAGAGUGGGCUGCCAUCAUCCGGCACCGACGACGAUGACGCGCUGCCGCGCACCUACCCCGGCACCUGGACCAUGCAUGUUGAGGAUGGCCAGCGCGAGGAGCCGCACAGGCGGCAGGCCCGCGCCCCGGUGGUGGACACUGGUUGCCGGGGCAUGCCCCUCAGUGGCUCCAGGCGGGACCCCGACAACGACGGGGCCGGCAGAAGAUCCUGGAAGGACACGCUUCUGGGCCGCGGGCGCGGCCACUAA
rnacentral:rRNA from 1 species